UUCCUUCCUUCCUUCCUUCACUGUUUCCUUCCAUCAUAUUUUCUUUCUUUCCUGUCAUCCUCACUAUCCUCUACCCAUCCAUGCAUUCAUUAAUCCACAUAUUCAUCCAUCUAUCCAUCAUUAUAUCCAUUUAUUUAUUCAUCUGCCCAUCUAUCCAUUCAGCAUGUCAUGGCUACCAUGCCCCAUGCUCUUGCUUUCAUCUGGUUAGAAAUGAGUUAAGUCUACACCCCCAGUAUAUGGCCGAUUCAUUAUCUGAACUACUGUCUGUGCAACCUGGACUGAAACCUGAUGAACCUGGGCAGUGGCUGCACUCACACUGAGUGUGCACCAGCUCUGCUCACGUCCUUCCCCUUCAUAAUUCAGUCUCUACUCUACAAACUCCAACAACUUGCCAGAUGCCCAUUUGUCUGACCCACUGCGGGUAACAGGCUUUGUUUCUUCGCAUGUUAUAAUACAUCGAGAAAGAUCCUUGGGAAAGGCAUUCACAAUAGAUAGAGCUUUGACAUCUUGCUGGCAGAAGACCAGAGGUGACUCAGACCCCAGGACAUUCCAAACCAACUGCUGCAUGAAGGCUCUGCAAAGAAUAAGCUUCACCUUCACCUGUCCUACCCUGGAGUCUGGAGUCCUGCACAGGGCAGAGUGAGGCCCAGCAUCACACCAGCACCCCCUCUCCAGGCUGCCCCCUUGUGCCCAUCCCACUAGAUGUCUCAUCUAUGGUCCUUGCUCUUCGAUGUCUGCAGAGAUUGUCUCAUUCUCUUCCCCCUUGAGGACCUCCCUUCCAAGGUUUACACCUGGAGCAGGUGUACUCACCCUUCAGGAUCCAGGUUAUCUGCAAGGUCUCUGUAGCCCCACAUAGAGUGAUUUCCUCAACUUUCUGCUCCACAUUGCAGUACACUCACGCUGACCUCCACAGCCAUUUUCA